AUUGAACGCUGGCGGCAUGCCUUACACAUGCAAGUCGAACGGUAACAGGGCUUCGGAUGCUGACGAGUGGCGAACGGGGGAGUAAUACAUCGGAACGUGCCCGAGAGUGGGGGAUAACGAGGCGAAAGCGUUGAGAAUAGCGCAUACGAUCUCAGGAUGAAAGCAGGGGACAGCAAGGCGUUGUGCUCACGGGGAGGCCGAUGGCAGAUUAGGUAGUUGGUGGGGUAAAGGCUUACCAAGCCUACGAUCUGUAGCUGGUCUGAGAGGAGCGACCAGCCACACUGGGACUGAGACACGGCCCAGACUCCUACGGGAGGCAGCAGUGGGGAAUUUUGGACAAUGGGCGCAAGCCUGAUCCAGCCAUGCCGCGUGCAGGAUGAAGGCCUUCGGGUUGUAAACUGCUUUUGUACGGAACGAAAAGACUCCUUCUAAUAAAGGGGGUUCAUGACGGUACCGUAAGAAUAAGCACCGGCUAACUACGUGCCAGCAGCCGCGGUAAUAC
rnacentral:rRNA from 1 species